rnacentral:rRNA from 1 species
GUAGGUGGCAAGCGUUGUCCGGAAUUAUUGGGCGUAAAGCGCGCGCAGGUGGUUCUUUAAGUCUGAUGUGAAAGCCCCCGGCUCAACCGGGGAGGGUCAUUGGAAACUGGGGAACUUGAGUGCAGGAGAGGAAAGUGGAAUUCCACGUGUAGCGGUGAAAUGCGUAGAUAUGUGGAGGAACACCAGUGGCGAAGGCGACUUUCUGGCCUGUAACUGACACUGAGGCGCGAAAGCGUGGGGAGCAAACAGGGAUUAGAUACCCUGGUAGUCCACGCCGUAAACGAUGAGUGCUAAGUGUUGGGGGGGUUUCCCGCCCCUCAGUGCUGCAGCCAACGCAUUAAGCACUCCGCCUGGGGAGUACGGUCGCAAGACUG